AGGUGGAGAACUAAGGGGUGAAGAGGAUGAGUGGCCUUUAAAAUGUCGUCUUGUGGUCAUCAAAGUGGCAAAAGGCAAUCUCGUAAACCUUCUAAUGUUGGAGGCUGAUGGCCAGGUCAAUGACCAUACAGAACAAUGGUGGCAACCUCAAACGUGGUUAGGAGGGUUAUUACUGAAAACUGAAUCUCGACAUGAGCCUAAGAAAUAAGUGCUAACUGACUCUAAAAACUAGAGGACAACUCUGUGAAUACCACCGCAAAUACCACUGGCAAGAGACACGUCUCCAAGCUGUCUUCAGACUCCAGAGUAAAUAAAUAAAAUAUUUCAGAGAGAAGAGGCCUGUAUACGUUGGCAGCAUUGCUUGACUUUGUGUGUAAAACCAAGCACGAUUUGAACUUCCACUAGGUAGACACCAACACAAGAAACUCAUUUAAACUGGUCAAAUUCUAACAAACAUUUUCUGUGAAGUUUUGGUGAGCUGGAGUUUGCCAGAAGUUUUUCCAGGAAUUAACAACCUCCAAAGACUGCAAACACUUUUUCUUCUGAACAUCUCUGCCCAGAAUCUUUCUCCAAAACUCAUAAAGCAAGAACUUGAGAAAACCUGCUUGAAAAGCAGUCUGCUUUGUAAAAAUAUAGUAGGAUCUCACUAGACUUUGAAGCAAGGGAGAACCAAAAUAAAGGCAGUGAAGACAUUACCCUCACUGUGUUUCCAAAUACUAUUGGAGAAAAUGCAAAAGCUUUAAGCAUAAUACUAGGGGUUGGUCGUUUAUCUAUUCACCUUCUUCUACUUCAAACCUACUGAUUUCUCUGCAUGAAAGUCAUAAGCUGAUCUUAGCUCAUCUCUGAUUAAGGAUGGUCCUUUGGUCCUCUUGGAUAGUCCUCUUCAUAUUCCAUGUCCCCACAGUUAGUCCUUGGUAAUCAAGCCUUGGCUUAUACACAUGCCAAUCCACCCCCAAAAAGCAAACAAAUAUAACAACUACAUUGAGAAUGAGAUAAUGUUACUCUGUGAUCACAGUUAUUGUGUUACCUUACACUUUCAGUGGGUCAGUUAUCUCUCUGGAGUAGUUAAAAAUGUUCUGUUGGCCCAUUGACUCGGUGGUAUAUUUGCUCGCUUCUAGCAAGCCUAAUGGACUAAUAUCAGUGGACAUUUAUUCUUGGAAGAGAUACACUUGCCAAGAUUUUAGGUCUUUGGCGAAAAUCAGCUCUGUACAGGAGUUAGGGUUUGUUAGAGUUGUUGUUUGUUUGUUUGUUUAACAUGAGAAGAAAUAAACAUUAUUUUUAACUUUGAAGAGACUUUAACUUCAGACACUGCCUGUGCACAGCCCCAGAGAGGACAAGGGCCAUGAGAAAUGUGAUGACAUUUGGUUGCAUAAUUUUGAAUUGAAUGAGAUUUACAUAUGUUUUUAGUACAAACAAAGCAAGAAACAAGCAUUCUUGGAGGAUACUCUUUUAGCAAAUGUUCAAAAAUUUGGUGAGCACAGCUACAUUACAUCUAAAGUCAAAAAUCUUAAGAGGCAAGUAUGUAAGAUAAGAUGAUCAUUUCCAUCUAUACAGUUAUUCAUGUUCUCUUGUCUUUUAGGACCAUAUAGCUUAACUAUAAUCUCUCAACACUUGAACUUUGAGCUACUUUGAUCAUACUUACUUUCACAGGGCAUACUGAAGAGUGGUUAAUUCUGUGGUACGUGAAAUUUGCACAAUACUUCUUUUUUCUUAAUGGAACACAUUUUUAGUAUUUUGCAAGCAAUCCACAAGUUAUUACUUCACGUUUGGUUUUAAAAUACAGUUUGGAAAAUCAAAACAAGUUUUGACUACACAUUAAUCAUACAGAGAAAAAAAUUCAAUACAAAAUAAAUUAAAGUAGCUUCCCAGGGGAAAUGUUUAAUCAGUUUCAAGUGUUUUUAAGAAGAAUGAGAAAUGAUGAAAAGCCUUUUACAGAAAGUGUUAAAUCAGUUAAUAAAUUUUUUGACUGCAUCUGCAUAAAUAGUUAUAGAUAAUUUAAACCAGCUUUCAAAGUAGUACAGUAAGAUAGGCUUUGGCAUAGAGUAGAAUAUGGCAUGAACAGAAAGAAGGUUCUGUUUUUACUUCCUUUCUUUCCUUCUUUUCCUGUUGCACAUAAAUAUUUGUAUCUCACUUUGAUCUAUCAUCAAAUCAUGUAUGACAGAAGUCUUGACCUGUUGGUUACCAACAACUAUUUGAUAUUGGUUAUGGCCACAGGAAAAUCAAAAGUAAAAUCUAGUAAAUAAAUUAUAAUUG
rnacentral:lncRNA from 7 species